GAUGAAGAACGCAGCGAAAUGCGAUACGUAAUGUGAAUUGCAGAAUUCAGUGAAUCAUCGAAUCUUUGAACGCAUAUUGCGCUCUCUGGUAUUCCGGAGAGCAUGCUUGUUUGAGUAUCAGUAAACACCUCAACUUCCAUAUCUUUUUUGAAAUGGGAGUUGGACUUGAGUGAUCCCAACGCUUUUCCUCACCGAAAAGUGGCGGGUUACUUGAAAUGCAGGUGCAGCUGGACUUUUCUCUGAGCUAUAAGCAUAUCUAUUUAGUCUGCCUAAAAAACAGAUUAUUACCUUUGCUGCAUCUAACAUAAAGGAGAUUAGUUCUUGUGCUGACUGAUGCAUGAUUCACAAAGACAGCUUCGGCCGACUUUGUAAACUCGAUCUCAAAUCAAGUAAGACUACCCGCUGAACUUAAGCAUAUCAAUAAGCGGAGGA
rnacentral:misc_RNA from 1 species